UGUAGUUUGGUGUAAAUGCACAUAAAAUUUUGAUUUUUAAAGUUAAGUUUAAUUCUUUUUCUACAAU
rnacentral:tRNA from 1 species